AUUGAACGCUGGCGGCAUGCUUUACGCAUGCAAGUCGAACGGUAACAGGCCGCAAGGUGCUGACGAGUGGCGAACGGGUGAGUAAUGCAUCGGAACGUGUCCAGUCGUGGGGGAUAACUACUCGAAAGAGUAGCUAAUACCGCAUACGAUCUAUGGAUGAAAGCGGGGGACCGUAAGGCCUCGCGCGAUUGGAGCGGCCGAUGUCAGAUUAGGUAGUUGGUGGGGUAAAGGCUCACCAAGCCAACGAUCUGUAGCUGGUCUGAGAGGACGACCAGCCACACUGGGACUGAGACACGGCCCAGACUCCUACGGGAGGCAGCAGUGGGGAAUUUUGGACAAUGGGCGCAAGCCUGAUCCAGCAAUGCCGCGUGCAGGAAGAAGGCCCUCGGGUUGUAAACUGCUUUUGUACGGAACGAAACGGCUCUGGUUAAUACCCGGGGCUAAUGACGGUACCGUAAGAAUAAGCACCGGCUAACUACGUG
rnacentral:rRNA from 1 species